GUGGGGAAUUUUGGACAAUGGGCGCAAGCCUGAUCCAGCAAUGCCGCGUGUGUGAAGAAGGUCUUCGGAUUGUAAAGCACUUUAAGUUGGGAGGAAGGGCAGUAAGUUAAUACCUUGCUGUUUUGACGUUACCAACAGAAUAAGCACCGGCUAACUUCGUGCCAGCAGCCGCGGUAAUACGAAGGGUGCAAGCGUUAAUCGGAAUUACUGGGCGUAAAGCGCGCGGAGGUGGUUUUGUAAGUUGGAGGUGAAAUCCCCGGGCUCAACCUGGGAACUGCCUCCAAAACUGGAUGACUAGAGUACGGUAGAGGGUAGUGGAAUUUCCUGUGUAGCGGUGAAAUGCGUAGAUAUAGGAAGGAACACCAGUGGCGAAGGCGACUACCUGGACUGAUACUGACACUGAGGUGCGAAAGCGUGGGGAGCAAACAGGAUUAGAAACCCGGGUAGUCC
rnacentral:rRNA from 1 species